GAGGAGACAUACCAUACAGCUAAAUAUAACUACCAUAGCUAGGUGGUUAGAGAGGAGACAUACCAUACAGCUAAAUAUAACUACCAUAGCUAGGUGGUUAGAGAGGAGUCAUACCAUACAGCUAAAUAUAACUACCAUAGCUAGGUGGUUAGAGAGGAGACAUACCAUACAGCUAAAUAUAACUACCAUAGCUAGGUGGUAGGUGGUUAGAGAGGAGACAUACCAUACAGCUAAAUACAACUACCAUAGCUAGGUGGUAGGUGGUUAGAGAGGAGUCAUACCAUACAGCUAAAUAUAACUACCAUAGCUAGGUGGUAGGUGGUUAGAGAGGAGACAUACCAUACAGCUAAAUAUAACUACCAUAGCUAG